rnacentral:other from 1 species
CGGGUACUGUCCUGCGCGUGAUUUAUCUUACUCCCCGGGGCGAUAAUCAUUCCGAAGGGAGCUGUCUCUGUCCGGAUCGUGGUCCGGUUACAUGGCGCCCACCUGUAAACACAGGUUCCGGAGGAUAAUAUAUAAAUCACGGCUGCGACGGUCCCGCC